ensembl:lncRNA
GGCCGAUGCCGUUCCGGAGGCCGAGGCGGUGCCCGAGGCCGAUGCCGUUCCGGAGGCCGAGGCGCCUCACGUCUCCACAGGCCGUCCAGAGCACCUUCACGUCUUCGCAGGGCCUCCGGAAGGGCAGGUUCCGCUCUGGUCGCUCAAGUGGCGGGUUCCUCCCUGGCCAUCGCCACAGCCUGCUCCCCGAAUGGCAGGUUCCGUUCUGGCCACUCAAAUGGUGAGUUCCUCCCUGGCCGUCUGCACAACUAGAAUGGACUGAUCCUCCGUGGCCACCUGAACUGCCUGGUCCCUCGUGGUCCCCUGAACUUUCGGGUCCACCCUGGCCCCCUGAACUGACUGAUCCACCUUGGCUGCCGGUGGAGCCAUCACUGCCGGUCUCUGUUCUCCUACACGGGCCUGGCCCUCCAUCCCUCCAUCCCUCCCCCUGUUCUACCUCCACCAGUCCACCUCCCUCCUGGUCUCUUGGUUUUGUGUUUGUUUUGUUCUGAGGAGCAUUUGGAAGCUGCUCCUUAGAGGGGGGGUAGUGUCACAGUGUCUGGUUUGUGUAUCCCUGGGUGUCCGCUAGAGGUCUCACUUCCCCAUAUCAUCACCCCACCUCAGGAACUACAUUUCCCACAGUCUUGUUGAUACUCAUCACUGUUCAUUGCAC